GUUAGUUGUUGAGCACAGUUUUGUAUGUAUGUUUCUCUUGUUUUUUUUAUUUGGUUUCCUUGCAGUGCAAAAAGCUUAAGCUAGCAAAGUACAGUAAGUAAGCAGUUUAUUCUUUGUUAUAAAAUGACCUGUAUUGUUGUUUGCAACAUGCUUUCUAUAUUUGACACAUCAUCUGUAGGUAAAAGAAACAGAUAGUUGGAAUUGAAAGGACAGAAGCAACAAAAUUAUGGCUUGUACAACCGCAUUUUUGCCUAUUCAUUUGCUAUAUACAUAGUAAGAAUGUUCGUCUUUAUUUUCUUAAAACCUUUUGCCUUAUUUUCUUAACACAUAUAUUUUAGUAUCAAUUUAUGAUCGUAAAAUGUAUUGUAAAUGACGGUUGCAUGCUAGUGUUUAUCCAUCUCUUUACUAUUUGAUUGCUAGUUAACUAUAUUAUUACUUUAUAAAAUUGUGUUCCCUUUCAGCAUUGUGGAGUUAUUAUUGAGUUGUUUGUUGGUUAGUUGUUGAGCACAGUUUUGUAUGUAUGUUUCUCUUGUUGUUUUUUUUAUUUGGUUUCCUUGCAGUGCAAAAAGCUUAAGCUAGCAAAGUACAGUAAGUAAGCAGUUUAUUCUUUGUUAUAAAAUGACCUGUAUUGUUGUUUGCAACAUGCUUUCUAUAUUUGACACACCAUCUGUAGGUUAAAAGAAACAGAUAGUUGGAAUUGAAAGGACAGAAGCAACAAAAUUAUGGCUUGUACAACCGCAUUUUUGCCUAUUCAUUUGCUAUAUACAUAGUAAGAAUGUUCGUCUUUAUUUUCUUAAAACCUUUUGCCUUAUUUUCUUAACACAUAUAUUUUAGUAUCAAUUUAUGAUCGUAAAAUGUAUUGUAAAUGACGGUUGCAUGCUAGUGUUUAUCCAUCUCUUUACUAUUUGAUUGCUAGUUAACUAUAUUAUUACUUUAUAAAAUUGUGUUCCCUUUCAGCAUUGUGGAGUUAUUAUUCAGUUGUUUGUUGGUUAGUUGUUGAGCACAGUUUUGUAUGUAUGUUUCUCUUGUUGUUUUUUUAUUUGGUUUCCUUGCAGUGCAAAAAGCUUAAGCUAGCAAAGUACAGUAAGUAAGCAGUUUAUUCUUUGUUAUAAAAUGACCUGUAUUGUUGUUUGCAACAUGCUUUCUAUAUUUGACACACCAUCUGUAGGUAAAAGAAACAGAUAAACGUUGGACUUGAAGAGACAGAAGAAAUGAAAUUCUCGUUGGUACGACCCCAUUUUUGCCUAUUCAUUUAUUAUAUACAUAGUAAGAAUGUACGUUUAUAUUUUCUUAACGUCUUUUGCUUUAUUUUCUUAACACAUAUAUUUUAGUAUCAAUUUAUGAUUGUAAAAAUAUCGUACUUUACUGUUGCGUACUAGUGUUUACUCAUCUCAUUACUGUUUGAUUUCUAUUUAACUAUAUUAUUACUCUAUAAAAUUGUGUUCCCUUUCAGCAUUGUGAAAUUAUUAUUGAGUUGUUUGUUGGUAAUAUGUUGAGCACAGUUUUGCUUGUGUGUUUUUGUUGUUUUUCUGUUUGCUUUUCUUGCAGUGAAAAAAGCUGAAGCUAGCAAAGUAGUUCUUUGAUAUAAAAUUACCUGUAUUGUUGUUUGCAACAUGCUUUAUAUAUUUGACACACAAUCUGUAGGUGAAAGAAACAGAUAGUUGGACUUGAAAGGACAGAAGCAAUGAAAUUCUGGCCGGUACAACCGCAUUUUUGCCUAUUCAUUUGCUAUAUACACAGGAAGAAUGUUCGUCUUUAUUUUCUUAAAACCUUUUCCUUUAUUUUCUUUACACAUAUAUUUUAGUAUCAAUUUAUGAUCGUAAAAAGUAUUGUAAUUUACUGUUGCGUACUAGUGUUUACUCAUCUCAUUACUAUUUGAUUGCUUGUCAACUAUAUUGUUACUUUAUAAAAUUGUGUUCCCUUUCAGCAUUGUGAAAUUAUUAUUGAGUUGUUUGUUGGUUAUUUGUUGAGCACAGUUUUGUUUGUGUGUUUAUGUUGUUUUUCUGUUUGCUUUCCUUGCAGUGAAAAAAGCUUAAGCUAGCAAAGUACAGUAAGUUAGCAGUUUAUUCUUUGAUAUAAAAUGACCUGUAUUUUUGUUUGCAACAUGCUUUCUAUAUUUGACACACAAUCUGUAGGUAAAAGAAAUUGAUAGUUGAACUUGAAGAGACAGAAGCAAUAAAAUUCUGGCUUGUACGACUGCAUUUUUG